GAAAAGAACUUUGAAAAGAGAGUUAAAUAGUACGUGAAAUUGUUGAAAGGGAAACGAUUGAAGUCAGUCAUACCAGCGGGAAAUCAACCUUUCGAGUGGGUUUUUGGAGUUUUGAAGUGUGUCAAAACCUUUGAGAUUUCAAAAUUCUUGCUCCUUUGGUGUACUUUCUCGUAGGUAGGUUAACAUCGAUUUUGGUCAUCAUAAAAAGAUUGGAGGAAUGUAGCUUCGAUCUCGUAUUGAAGUGUUAUAGCCUUUGGUAGAUGUGAUGUCUGGGAUCGAGGAUUGCAACGGAUACCUUUUAGGCUAGUCACCUAGUCUCUAAUACGAAGUUGGGUUACGGACAGCAUGCUGACUGUGAUCUGAUUUUCGGUUAAAAGAUUAGAGUGAACGUAAAUUCGUU
rnacentral:rRNA from 1 species